rnacentral:rRNA from 1 species
CGAAAGCCUGACGGAGCAAUACCGCGUGAGGGAAGACUGCCUAUGGGUUGUAAACCUCUUUUUUCAGGGAGGAAUAAAAUGACGUGUACCUGAAGAAUAAGCAUCGGCUAACUCCGUGCCAGCAGCCGCGGUAAGACGGAGGAUGCAAGUGUUAUCCGGAAUCACUGGGCGUAAAGCGUCUGUAGGUGGUUGGGUAAGUCAACUGUUAAAUCUUGAGGCUCAACCUCAAAAUCGCAGUCGAAACUGCUUGACUAGAGUAUAGUAGGGGUAAAGGGAAUUUCCAGUGGAGCGGUGAAAUGCGUAGAGAUUGGAAAGAACACCGAUGGCGAAGGCACUUUACUGGGCUAUUACUGACACUGAGGGACGAAAGCUAGGGUAGCG